UAUAUUACUAUUGGAUAAGAUAAAAUGUGGUGUUAAUGUAAUUGUAUUUUAACUUAUUUAUUUAUUAGUAAGUACAAAUGUCAUAUUUACAAGUUUAUUUUUUCAUUAAAUAUUUUUUUUGUGGAUUCGCGGAUUUUUACGGAUUUACAGAAGUAAAUCCAUAUCCAAUCCGCCAACUGCGGAUUUUCAAAUUUUUAAUCCAAUCCAAUCCACGGAUCGGAUUCUUACGGAUUGGAUUAUAGAUCACAUAGAUUAAACAGAUCGAAUUGGAUUCUAAACACCCCUAGUGGCAGAAUGUUAUUAGACCAAAAUACUGAUGUGGCAUUGACUGAUGACGUGGCAGCAUCUUAUUGGAUCGAAAUGCUAAUGUGGUGUUAAUUGAUGAUGUAUUCCAACCAAUCAAAGCUUGCCACGUAGCGUAAUCCUGAGCGUUUGAAUAGUUUUCAUCCGAUGGUCAUGAUUUUACCCAUUGUAUCUAUAAAUGGAGGGCUCCCCCCCUAAUUUGACACCCCUGAAUCCAUUUUUUAGCUCUAUUUUUUAUUAUUCUUUCUCCAUCUUGUAUUUUCUAUGUAUUUUAAUAAAAUUAUCAUUUUACCGCAAGUUUAAUUAUGAGUGGCUAGUUUAAUUUCAAGCUUGGGUUAAAGGUGAAGCCUCAACAUGAUCCAUGGACUUAAUUAGGUAAGUUUAUUUUCUUUUCCUCUCUGAUUUAUGUGGUUGUUUUGACUUAUUGUCGACACACAAUGUAUCUUGUCUAGAUUUUGCAUGGUAUGCCAGCUCCCUAGUGAAGGAUCUUUAUUGUCUGGCACAAUGAAUACUUAGCAGCAUAAUAAUUAGAGAGAAAAUUAUCCUCUAGUAUUUUGUGGGUUGUCUUAACUUAGAGUCGAAAAAGAGUAUGUAUCUAAGUUAUUUAGUGGAUGGUCUUACUAAGUUGUCGACAGAAGGAGUAUUAUUGUCUGGCACAACAUGUUCUUGACACCACACUUAGUGAAAGAUCAUUACAUUUGGCACAUGAAAUGCUAGUUAUGCAACCCAAGAUAGGGGGAGAAUUAGGUUUUUAAAGGUUAAGUUAAACAAACCACACAACAAUUCUAUAUAUUACUUUAAUGAAUUAAAAAACAAUAAAUUUAAUAAAGCACAAUAACAAAAGAGUAAGGGAAGAGAGAGCAAACACAAUAAUUUUUACGUGGUUCGGCAAUCCCCGCCUAUGUCCACUCCUCCAAAACAACCAAAUUUGAGGAUUUAACUAUCCAAACCUUCUAAGACUUCAAAUUCUUUACAAUUGACUUCUAAAAAUUCUUUACAAUUGACUUCUAAAGUAUCAAUAAACUUUUACAAUCAAGAGUAUCCCCUAAUCUCUUCACUCAAGUAUUUCUCACACUUAUACACUCACAAAUUUGAUGAGAAUAUAAAUAUUACUACAAACACUCUGUUUUAGAGUGGAUAUACAAAUUAUAGCAUAAUGAUGAUUCAAUAUAUGAUGAUUUACAAAUUGGAAGCUCAAAAUAUAUUGUUUACACUUGUUUAUGCUUGCAAAAGUUCUUAAAAAUGAAUUGGAUUUGAAUUUAUAUAAUUUAAGCCCAAAAACAAGCCGUUAUAGGCAAAUUCUAGCAAGCACGUGGCUAGCCUCUUAAUUAGCUAGCUCACCUCUUUAGUACUGUGAAAGUUAUCGUUACAAUUUGAAUUUUGCUAUGGUGAUGCUACAGUAAUACUGUUUACUAAAAUUACACUUUUACCUAAAAUUAUCCAUAAUUUUACUAUGGCCCAAAAAGUCAUAAAACUUUACCAAUAGCCCAAAACUUUGUAAAACUUUUCAAAGAGGUCAUAUUUAGAAUUUUAACACAAUACUUAUUUAUUUCAAAAUUCUCAAAACUUUUUCACUUUAAUCCAAAUUUUGAGAAUUUGAAAAUUUCCUCAGGCAGUUAGCCGCUAGCCCUCAGACAAGUAACUGGUAACUCUCUGUCUAUUUUUAAUAUUUAUAUUUUAGCCCUAAAACGUUUAAAAAUUAGAAUAUGCCCUAAAAUAUUUCAAAUAUUUGCAAAUAGGUCCAAAUUCAGAAUUCAAAACAAUACUUAUUAAAAUCAAAGAUUGCAACGCUUUUUCAUUUAGUUCACAUCUUGAAAAACAACUAAUUUCAUAAAAUACUUGGCUUAUAUUUGCAAAAUCUUGGUUUAUGAAAAAUGAUGAUUUAUUAAAUAAAAUCUUGAGCUCCUCAAAUGCUAAAUCAUGCGUAUAUUAAAUCAUACCAACUUUAUAAGAAUUGUUACAAUAAUGAGUCUAUUGAGCUCUAAACUUUAUUCUUGAUCGAGCCAUUGUUCGUUGAGUAUCUUGAACUUGAUUUCACUUGAUUCACUUGUAUAAAUAUUAUCCUUCAAGAACAAGUGAAAAUGUAAAAUAUAAUAUUUAUCAUAUUACUUAAGACACAUGUUUGUUAUCAUUAAAAUUACAAUAUAUGUAGCCCUUUAGGCCUACAGCACAGAAGGCCAGCAAUUGAUUGCAAUAUAUAAAAUCAUAAAGAUGAAAUUUGCAUGACAACAAUAAUUUUGCAUGGAAAAGAUAAACUAUGUAGGAAUUUAACCUUGUCAACAGCAUCAAAGACUCGUAUCCUCCACUUCAAAAGACCAAAACCAAUCGCAUCACAAGCUCAAUCCUUACAUCUAUUAAAGAGAUUGAUACUUACAUCUAUUAAAGAGAUAAUUAAAAGGCGAGCUAAAGAGAGAAUUGAAUGGCACAAGCUGACAAGCAAGAUUGUAGAUGAGCUUGAUUGCAAGACUAGGAGAAUUGAAUGGUGUUGUUAAACGACCUACGUUUGAAGGAUAAGCUAGGGCUUGAAAGAGUUAUGGAUAAGGAAGCUAGGGUUUGAAAGACUUACAUUGUCAGAAAAAUGUGUCUGAUGAACUAGGAUUUUGCAGCAACUAAUUGAGUUUUUUGGUUUUAAAUUGCUUCGAUUGGAAAAGGGAAUUAGUUUUUGGCUUUUAAAUUUAGCGAAUUUGCUUUUAGUUCUAGGUUUCUUUUAAAUUGAGGGGUUUAGCAUUAUAUCAUUCUAGUUUCUAGAGUUUUAAGAAAGAGAGUGAAUGAUUUUGAGAUGAGAAAGAAGAUGAAGAGCUAAAAACAUUUUGCCAAGUGUUCAAAUUACAUAUCACAAGACAAAAAUGCCACCGUUUGGAAUAAGAAAAAAUCAAAAAUAAAAAAUGCAUUGCUCAGUAUCAGUAUAGGUUAUGAUUCUAUAAUAUCAAUCACUACUGACACUAAUAUGUUAAAAAUCACUUAAGUCAUCAAAUGCUAAUUCUUUGUUUACUUAGUACCAAUAGCUUAAUAUCAAUGAAAGUCAUUUUUUUAUUAUUAAGGUAAAAUAUAUCAUUCUUCCUCUGAAGAAUGAGCUCCAUGUUUGGAUGAACAAGACUUCUUAUUCCGGCAGUCUCUCUUUUUAGGAAGAUUUUAGAAGGAGAUUUCUACAAAAGACUAGGCUUUCUAUGAUGCACCUUUUAACUCUCGACUAUAUUUAGCUUGACCGGCGAUCCCAAAUAAAGUUUAGAGAUGAAAAAUUUAGAGAGAUAAAGUCUAAAGAGAGAAAAUCAGCAUUUUCUCUCUUUAGUGAUUUUUAACUUAUCUUUAAAAAAGGAUGAAGAGUUUAUAUUUAUAAGUUACUUUAGUUUGACUUGAGUCUUUGUUAUAUUGACGACAAGUGUCACUGUCCUUGUGAUACCUAGUGACACUGGUCUUCUUGUGCUUAUGUAGAGUGAUAGUUGGUUGUGCAACUUUGUCUUCAGAUCAAAGAAGGAAGUGUUUCCAUCCUCCGCUAUCAUGGUGCUUAAUUCAAAGGAAAAGAUGCUUUUUUUCUUAUGUUUUCAAAACUAUGAAUUUUAUUUGAAAAAGUUUAUCUUUAAGAUAUUUGUUCUAUGACGUUUUUCUUAGCUAACUUGCCAUGGGGAAAGAAGUCCUUUUCACCCUUAGGGUUUGAUAUACUAGUCUAUUUCAUUCUUACUUUUUAAACAAUAACUUAUUUCAUCCCUACUUUAAAAAAAAAAAACCGAAACACCCUUCCGUGAAUUUACAUUUAGGUUACUAUAAAAUUCAUUGAGGGCAAAAUACAUUUUUCAAUUAAAUAAAUGUAAACUAUUUUCAAAUAAAAAUCUCAAGAAUGAUUAAAUAACACCUGAUUUUCUGCAUAAAUUUAAAAUUUAAGGAUAAUUAUAUGUGUUCGCGUGUGUGUGCACACACGUAUCCG
rnacentral:lncRNA from 1 species